rnacentral:rRNA from 1 species
AUUGAACGCUGGCGGCAUGCUUUACACAUGCAAGUCGAACGGUAACAGGCCUUCGGGUGCUGACGAGUGGCGAACGGGGGAGUAAUGCAUCGGAACGCACCCAGAGGUGGGGGAUAACGCAGCGAAAGGUGUGCUAAUACCGCAUGUGAUCUGAUGAUGAAAGCGGGGGACCAGGCAGCAAUGUUUGGCCUCGCGCGUUUGGAUGAGCCGAUGUCAGAUUAGGUAGUUGGUGGGGUAAAGGCCUACCAAGCCGACGAUCUGUAGCUGGUCUGAGAGGACGACCAGCCACACUGGGACUGAGACACGGCCCAGACUCCUACGGGAGGCAGCAGUGGGGAAUUUUGGACAAUGGGCGCAAGCCUGAUCCAGCAAUGCCGCGUGCGGGAAGAAGGCCUUCGGGUUGUAAACCGCUUUUGUACGGAAAGAAAAGGAUCUGGCUAAUACCUGGGGCUGAUGACGGUACCGUAAGAAUAAGCACCGGCUAACUACGUG